ACCGGAGUGGCGAAAUUGGGAGACGCGCCUGGUUUAAGCCCAGGUGUCCGCAAGGAUGUGCGGGUUCAACCCCCGCCUCCGGUA
rnacentral:tRNA from 1 species